AUGAUCAAUACAAUUAAAAAUGAUAUUGAAUCUUUUGUUUUUGCUUCAGAAUUGGAGCAACAUAAGGUACAACUGCAAAAACAGAACCUUAUGUUUACUGAAGUACUUGAACGGAUGAAGACAGAAGUAACUUUGUGGAGAGUUGACCAGGAUUUGGGCAGUGUUGUAAUUUAUGAUUUACAUGAGGAGAACAGUAAUAUAAUGAUUGAUUUGAAGAACCUGAAGCGGGACAAGGAUGAAGUUAUGGAAAGGCUACUUGCGAUGAGCAAGGAAAACCCAAAACUUAAGUCCAACAUCAGAUCCUUGCAAACAGAUCGAGAUGGAAAAGCCAAAGCUCUUAUGGAGUUGCAAUGCUCCCAUGCAGCCUUAUGUAAAGAGCUUGAGUUGAAAGCCAAGGUCAUUGAACUCGGAAUUUCAAUUGAAAAUGCUUUGAAGUCAGAUAAUGAUUCACUGAGACAUGAAAUGCUACAUAUUCUGCGCAAGGACAAGAGGAUGGUUGAUUUGGUUUCUAAUAUUGAUAUGGAGAAGUUAUCUGUCUCCAUUCAAGCAUGUUUGGAACAAAUUACUGCUCAAGUACAAAUGUACAUUGAUGAACAAUCGACCAUGAUGAUGAAGUUGUCCAAUGACUUAAACUUGGUUCAAUUGUCUGUUGAGGAAUUGAGCACCCAUAAUUCCUCUUUACAGUCUGAACUAGCUAGGAAAGAUGAAUUGGCAAAGGGCUUGUCAUUUGAUCUUAGCCUACUACAGGAGUCAGCAUCUGUUGCAAAAGGUCAAGCAGAUCAACUUAUUGAGUUGGCUGAAGCAAUUAAAUCAUUAGAACAUGAGGUUGCUUCUAAAUCACAUGAUCUUGAUAAUCUUGUUUCUGGAAGCCAACCACUAGAAGCUCAAAUCAUGAAGAGUAAUGAAAAGAUUUCGGUGCUAGAGGAGCAACUAGCAAGUACAGUUGGUGAACUAACUGCAGUUUCUGUGGAGAACACUGAAUUGAGAUCUCAGCUCAACCAUAUUGCAUGGAUCAGUUACUCUAGGAAAGAGGAGUUGGCCCAUAGAAGUAAUUCCACUGAAAGAAUGGAAGAAGGGUUGAUUGAGCUGAGAAAUUUACUUGAUGAAAGGAACAACUUAUUUCAAAAUUUGCAAAAUGACUUCUCCAAGCUUUCCGAUGAGAAACAAUACUGUGACUCUCAGGUGCUUAUGUUGAGAGAGAAGCUGGAGAUGGCUCAGGCAGUGGGCGAAAAAAGUGAAGCAAUUGCUAUGGAUGCUUGA
rnacentral:rRNA from 1 species